rnacentral:rRNA from 1 species
AUUGAACGCUGGCGGCAUGCUUUACACAUGCAAGUCGAACGGCAGCGCGGGCUUCGGCCUGGCGGCGAGUGGCGAACGGGUGAGUAAUGCAUCGGAACGUGCCCAGUAGUGGGGGAUAGCCCGGCGAAAGCCGGAUUAAUACCGCAUACGACCUGAGGGUGAAAGCGGGGGACCGAAAGGCCUCGCGCUAUUGGAGCGGCCGAUGUCGGAUUAGCUAGUUGGUGGGGUAAAGGCUUACCAAGGCGACGAUCCGUAGCUGGUCUGAGAGGACGACCAGCCACACUGGGACUGAGACACGGCCCAGACUCCUACGGGAGGCAGCAGUGGGGAAUUUUGGACAAUGGGGGCAACCCUGAUCCGGCCAUGCCGCGUGCGGGAAGAAGGCCUUCGGGUUGUAAACCGCUUUUGUUCGGGAAGAAAUCCUCUGGGCUAAUACCCCGGGGGGAGGACGGUACCGGAAGAAUAAGCACCGGCUAACUACGU